AUGGGGGGACCAUCCUCCAAGGCUAAAUACUCCUGACUGACCGAUAGUGAACCAGUACCGUGAGGGAAAGGCGAAAAGAACCCCGGCGAGGGGAGUGAAAAAGAACCUGAAACCGUGUACGUACAAGCAGUGGGAGCACGCUUAGGCGUGUGACUGCGUACCUUUUGUAUAAUGGGUCAGCGACUUAUAUUCUGUAGCAAGGUUAACCGAAUAGGGGAGCCGAAGGGAAACCGAGUCUUAACUGGGCGUUAAGUUGCAGGGUAUAGACCCGAAACCCGGUGAUCUAGCCAUGGGCAGGUUGAAGGUUGGGUAACACUAACUGGAGGACCGAACCGACUAAUGUUGAAAAAUUAGCGGAUGACUUGUGGCUGGGGGUGAAAGGCCAAUCAAACCGGGAGAUAGCUGGUUCUCCCCGAAAGCUAUUUAGGUAGCGCCUCGUGAAUUCAUCUCCGGGGGUAGAGCACUGUUUCGGCAAGGGGGUCAUCCCGACUUACCAACCCGAUGCAAACUGCGAAUACCGGAGAAUGUUAUCACGGGAGACACACGGCGGGUGCUAACGUCCGUCGUGAAGAGGGAAACAACCCAGACCGCCAGCUAAGGUCCCAAAGUCAUGGUUAAGUGGGAAACGAUGUGGGAAGGCCCAGACAGCCAGGAUGUUGGCUUAGAAGCAGCCAUCAUUUAAAGAAAGCGUAAUAGCUCACUGGUCGAGUCGGCCUGCGCGGAAGAUGUAACGGGGCUAAACCAUGCACCGAAGCUGCGGCAGCGACGCUGAUGCGUUGUUGGGUAGGGGAGCGUUCUGUAAGCCUG
rnacentral:rRNA from 1 species